ensembl:lncRNA
UCUCGUUCAAGUGGAGAAUGCACAAAAAAGGAAGGGACUUGACAAUAGUAAUAUUAUAACAGUAUACAUUAGUGAUAGUAAUAUUAUAACAGUAUUCAUCAGUGAUAGUAAUAUUGUAAUAGUGUUCAUCAAAAUUAAAAUUUGGAUUUACUGAAUCCCAGUUAAGCAGUUUAAUUUAAUACCGGCUUGUAUUUCCAGUUGGUCUCAUCGACGUUGAGGCUAGAGUGUGAGGUCGUUCUAGAUGGCGCUCUAUUCCGAGGUGGCUAUCACUAAAGCUAACAUGAAGCUAAAGGCGUUGUGUAUGUUUGGUGUUAUGAGCUCACAGGAAUCCCAGCUUUCUGCUCUCAGCGCUUUAUUAAAACAUUCCUGGACACGACGCUCGGUGAUCAUGAGUGAUGUGAUGAUGAGAGUUGAUCAGGAGCCCGUCCUCUGGCCGGGUCAUAUGGGGCUCCAGGUGGGAGGUCAGAGGUCAGAGCCCGUCCUCUGGCCGGGUCACAUGGGGCUCCAGGUGGGAGGUCAGAGGUCAGAGCCCGUCCUCUGGCCGGGUCACAUGGGGCUCCAGGUGGGAGGUCAGAGGUCAGAGCCCGUCCUCUGGCCGGGUCACAUGGGGCUCCAGGUGGGAGGUCAGAGGUCAGAGCCCUUCGUCUGGGCGGGUCACAUGGGGCUCCAGGUGGGAGGUCAGAGGUCAGAGCCGAUCCUCUGGCCGGGUCACAUGGGGCUCCAGGUGGGAGGUCAGAGGUCAGAACAUGUCCUUCCUUUAUCUGUGGAUCAGCUCUGAGACGUCCUCCUUACA